rnacentral:rRNA from 1 species
UACGUAGGGGGCAAGCGUUGUCCGGAUUUACUGGGCGUAAAGAGCGCGCAGGCGGUUGGAUAAGUCGAAUGUGAAAGCCCCCGGCUCAACUGGGGAGGGUCAUUCGAUACUGUCCGACUCGAAGGCAGGAGAGGGAAGCGGAAUUCCCGGUGUAGUGGUGAAAUGCGUAGAUAUCGGGAGGAACACCAGUGGCGAAGGCGGCUUUCUGGCCUGUUCUUGACGCUGAGGCGCGAAAGCCAGGGGAGCAAACGGG